CAAUACAUACCGUGAUUUGCGGGGUGCCCGUCGUUUUCAGACCUUUCUUGUGGGGCCUAUAUUUAAUAUGGGAUCUAUAUAAGAACCCGCAAAAUAUGUGCGCCUUAAAUGUGUUAACUUUCAUACUGGAAGCAUCCUAUAGCAAUUACGCGCAAGUCGGUCUUAAAUUGAAAUUAAAAUAGAGUUGUCUCCCCUACUCCAGGUCAGUAAAGAACCCAUCUCUACAUCAUCUAGACGCUUGCAUAGAACCCGCAAUUUUAUGUAUGCCCCGCAGUUAAAGCGCGUGAAGUGAUAUAGAACACGAAGAUCAGAAAAUGGCGGCAGUUAACGGGUGUUACAUGUGAUAUUGAAAAUUAAUAGAUCUACAGUACUCAGUAAUGAUGUAUUUCAAGGAAAUGAGACCAAGAAGAAAGAAACAGGAGAAUGUGGCAGCAGACUGCAUUGAUUCAGGGGAGGACCUCAAAGAUUUUGUUAUUGAACAUAUACCACCAAAAGGUCUUGGUGUUAGAACAACAAUAA